ensembl:misc_RNA
CUGACAGCCUUGGGGAUUGAAGUCUUCUCUUUAUCUACAGCAGAGGCACAGCAUGGGUAGCAGCAGUGCAGAGUUCUUCAUAACUGCAAUCAGCGGAGUUGCACAGGGUAGAAUUUGGCCUGUGUAUCUGAGUGAGAUGGCUAGCCCCAAACCCAUUUAAUUUGUAGGGGUU